CUGGAGACCUCGGGGUGUUCCUGUGGGCCGCUGGCCCGUGCGAACUGAGACGCUGUGCGAACCCGUUGAACCUGAACCGGCUAGAACCGGCGGAGGGAAGGAUUGCACGACAUUG
rnacentral:ncRNA from 2 species